UCCCUAUGGGGUGCAGCAGUCGCGAAAACUUUACAAUGCGGGAAACCGCGAUAAGGGGAUACUGAGUGCCAGCAUCUUAUGUUGGCUGUCCACCUGUAAAAACAGCAGGUGUUAGCAAGGGCCGGGCAAGACCGGUGCCAGCCGCCGCGGUAACACCGGCGGCCCGAGUGGUGACCACUAUUAUUGGGUCUAAAGGGUCCGUAGCCGGUUUGAUCAGUCUUCCGGGAAAUCUGACAGCUCAACUGUUAGGCUUCCGGGGGAUACUGUCAGACUUGGGACCGGGAGAGGUAAGAGGUACUACAGGGGUAGGAGUGAAAUCUUGUAGUCCUUGUGGGACCACCAGUGGCGAAGGCGUCUUACCAGAACGGGUUCGACGGUGAGGGACGAAAGCUGGGGGCACGAACCGGAUUAGAUACCCGGGUAGUCCCAGCCGUAAACGAUGCUCGCUAGGUGUCAGGCACGGUGCGACCGUGUUUGGUGCCGCAGGGAAGCCGUGAAGCGAGCCACCUGGGAAGUACGGCCGCAAGGCUGAAACUUAAAGGAAUUGGCGGGGGAGCACAACAACGGGUGGAGCCUGCGGUUUAAUUGGAUUCAACGCCGGAA
rnacentral:rRNA from 1 species